rnacentral:rRNA from 1 species
UACGUAGGGGGUAAGCGUUGUCCGGAUUUAUUGGGCGUAAAGAGCGUGUAGGCGGCCUGAAAGGUCAGCUGAUGAAAACUCGAGGCUCAACCUCGAGACGUCGGUUGAAACCAUCUGGCUAGAGUCCGGAAGAGGAGUGUGGAAUUCCCGGUGUAGCGGUGAAAUGCGCAGAUAUCGGGAAGAACACCCGUGGCGAAGGCGGCACUCUGGGACGGUACUGACGCUGAGACGGCGAAAGCGUGGGGAGCGAACGAGGA